rnacentral:rRNA from 1 species
AGAGUUUGAUCCUGGCUCAGGACGAACGCUGGCGGCGUGCUUAACACAUGCAAGUCGAACGGAAAGGUCUCUUCGGAGACACUCGAGUGGCGAACGGGUGAGUAACACGUGGGCAAUCUGCCCUGCACACCGGGAUAAGCCUGGGAAACUGGGUCUAAUACCGGAUAGGACCACUUGGCGCAUGCCUUGUGGUGGAAAGCUUUUGCGGUGUGGGAUGGGCCCGCGGCCUAUCAGCUUGUUGGUGGGGUGACGGCCUACCAAGGCGACGACGGGUAGCCGGCCUGAGAGGGUGUCCGGCCACACUGGGACUGAGAUACGGCCCAGACUCCUACGGGAGGCAGCAGUGGGGAAUAUUGCACAAUGGGCGCAAGCCUGAUGCAGCGACGCCGCGUGGGGGAUGACGGCCUUCGGGUUGUAAACCUCUUUCACCAUCGACGAAGGUCCGGGUUCUCUCGGAUUGACGGUAGGUGGAGAAGAAGCACCGGCCAACUACGUGCCAGCAGCCGCGGUAAUACGUAGGGUGCGAGCGUUGUCCGGAAUUACUGGGCGUAAAGAGCUCGUAGGUGGUUUGUCGCGUUGUUCGUGAAAUCUCACGGCUUAACUGUGAGCGUGCGGGCGAUACGGGCAGACUAGAGUACUGCAGGGGAGACUGGAAUUCCUGGUGUAGCGGUGGAAUGCGCAGAUAUCAGGAGGAACACCGGUGGCGAAGGCGGGUCUCUGGGCAGUAACUGACGCUGAGGAGCGAAAGCGUGGGGAGCGAACAGGAUUAGAUACCCUGGUAGUCCACGCCGUAAACGGUGGGUACUAGGUGUGGGUUUCCUUCCUUGGGAUCCGUGCCGUAGCUAACGCAUUAAGUACCCCGCCUGGGGAGUACGGCCGCAAGGCUAAAACUCAAAGGAAUUGACGGGGGCCCGCACAAGCGGCGGAGCAUGUGGAUUAAUUCGAUGCAACGCGAAGAACCUUACCUGGGUUUGACAUGCACAGGACGCGUCUAGAGAUAGGCGUUCCCUUGUGGCCUGUGUGCAGGUGGUGCAUGGCUGUCGUCAGCUCGUGUCGUGAGAUGUUGGGUUAAGUCCCGCAACGAGCGCAACCCUUGUCUCAUGUUGCCAGCGGGUAAUGCCGGGGACUCGUGAGAGACUGCCGGGGUCAACUCGGAGGAAGGUGGGGAUGACGUCAAGUCAUCAUGCCCCUUAUGUCCAGGGCUUCACACAUGCUACAAUGGCCGGUACAAAGGGCUGCGAUGCCGCGAGGUUAAGCGAAUCCUUUUAAAGCCGGUCUCAGUUCGGAUCGGGGUCUGCAACUCGACCCCGUGAAGUCGGAGUCGCUAGUAAUCGCAGAUCAGCAACGCUGCGGUGAAUACGUUCCCGGGCCUUGUACACACCGCCCGUCACGUCAUGAAAGUCGGUAACACCCGAAGCCAGUGGCCUAACCCUCGGGAGGGAGCUGUCGAAGGUGGGAUCGGCGAUUGGGACGAAGUCGUAACAAGGUAGCCGUACCGGAAGGUGCGGCUGGAUCACCUCCUUU